UCAGGGAGCUUCCUGGGUAGAUGACACAAGCACCUGUCAAAAGAACUAUAAAUACCAGUAAAUGCAGAGGACAGUUGCAGAGCCAUGACACCCUGUUGACUUGGGAGAUGAAGGUGACCUUGCAGCCCCAGCAACCAGAUACCGGACUCCCAGGCUCCCAAAGGGACAUUGUCCAUAGGAGCUUAAAAAGUGAAGUCAUCAGUUUCCUAGCUUCAAAAUUCAAAAGCCUCAUUCCAGGCACAGAUGGGCUGGAAGAAGUUACACUCAGAGCCCAGUCUGCAAUUUCAAACCUACGGCAGAAGAAUUGCACUUGACCAUGUGAUGACAACAAUUGAGCCACCCAGCUUAGAGCCAGAGAUGGGGAGCCUCACAUCGAGGAUGGCAGAGACAUCUCACCAGCUUGGGCACUCCAGGGAGAGAUGCAGAGCUCCCUCCUGCUCUGGACUGCGAUGUAUCUUGCAUGAGCACCUCUCAUUGAAGAACCUACUGUGUAACCCCGCUGGUCACAGAGGCUGAGAAAUGCAGCAUCCACAUUUCCAGUCUCUGCAGUAGAGGAGAUGGUACAGAAAAGAGCAAGAGAUUGUCUAGCACACAUUGUCUACUCUGGAUGCCACAUUGACAUUUCUCCCAGCGUUUUCAUAUAAAAUUAGUUGAGCUGACUUAGAAAUGACCACACUGUGUGCCACCUGCACAGCUUUCUGCCUUGGUCAUGCCUGCUCAGUCUGCCGUGGGGGCAGUGGCACCUGCUCUUCCCUCUGCCUGAAGUGCUCAUCCCUGGGUCUCUGCCUGGCCAGACUCCUCUCUUCCUUCAG
rnacentral:lncRNA from 10 species